CAGAACGAACGCUGGCGGCAUGCCUAACACAUGCAAGUCGAACGAGACCUUCGGGUCUAGUGGCGCACGGGUGCGUAACGCGUGGGAACCUGCCUUUAGGUUCGGAAUAACUCAGAGAAAUUUGAGCUAAUACCGGAUAAUGUCUUCGGACCAAAGAUUUAUCGCCUUUAGAUGGGCCCGCGUUGGAUUAGCUAGUUGGUGGGGUAAAGGCCUACCAAGGCGACGAUCCAUAGCUGGUCUGAGAGGAUGAUCAGCCACACUGGGACUGAGACACGGCCCAGACUCCUACGGGAGGCAGCAGUGGGGAAUAUUGGACAAUGGGCGAAAGCCUGAUCCAGCAAUGCCGCGUGAGUGAUGAAGGCCUUAGGGUUGUAAAGCUCUUUUACCCGAGAUGAUAAUGACAGUAUCGGGAGAAUAAGCUCCGGCUAACUCCGUG
rnacentral:rRNA from 1 species